rnacentral:sRNA from 1 species
CGCUGGCGUCAAUGCUCCCUUCCUCGGGCCAUUGGAGACUCCGUUGCUUUUUAAUGGCGGCAGCGGCUGCUGGGUGAGCAGCUGGAGGCCGGACAGUGUUCGUCCCAUCCGGAGAGGAUCGCUUUCUCCUGGCGUCACCAGCGCUGGGUUGGUGGGGGUAGCUUUUCCCUCUUUGCUCCUCCAUUCUUGAAGAAAGAAGAAGAUGCCACUGCCAUUUGGGUUGAAACUGAAACGCACCCGGCGCUACACGGUGUCCAGCAAGAGUUGCCUGGUUGCCCGGAUCCAACUGCUUAAUAACGAGUUUGUGGAGUUCACCCUGUCCGUGGAGAGCACUGGCCAGGAAAGCCUCGAGGCCGUGGCCCAGAGGCUGGAGCUGCGGGAGGUCACUUACUUCAGCCUCUGGUACUACAACAAGCAAAAUCAGCGCCGGUGGGUAGAUUUGGAAAAACCUUUGAAGAAGCAGCUGGAUAAAUAUGCAUUGGAACCUACCGUCUAUUUUGGAGUGGUGUUUUUUGUGCCUUCAGUUUCUCAGCUGCAGCAGGAGAUCACCAGUUUUCAGGAAAGAUGUGAGAACAUGUAAACUUGCCAAAUGACCCCAUGAGCCUACAAUCAGAAAAGUCCAGAAGGCAGGAAAUUCUACAUGACAAAUGGCUCCAUUUCUGUUAAUAACAUGAAAAUAAAAGGUAAUGAAAACUUUCUUUUUUAUAGCAAGAGAGAUUUAGAAACAUCCAUUAAAUGUAAUCUGUAGACCUUGUUUGGAUUCUAAUUUAAGAAAAUUGUAAAAAUGCAUUUUUGAGGCAAUCAUGAAAAUUGCAUAUGAAU